UACGGAGGAUCCGAGCGUUAUCCGGAUUUAUUGGGUUUAAAGGGAGCGUAGGCGGAUUAUUAAGUCAGUUGUGAAAGUUUGCGGCUCAACCGUAAAAUUGCAGUUGAUACUGGCUGUCUUGAGUACAGUAGAGGUGGGCGGAAUUCGUGGUGUAGCGGUGAAAUGCUUAGAUAUCACGAAGAACUCCGAUUGCGAAGGCAGCUCACUGGACUGCAACUGACACUGAUGCUCGAAAGUGUGGGUAUCAAACAGG
rnacentral:rRNA from 1 species